GCUAUGUAUUAAUCUGAAUCGACAAAACAGAAACAAAGAAAAGAUUAGACUGGAACGGAAAUCAACACAUUGAUCUCUCUCAUUAAUUCGGGGAAGCUUCUUCUCUUGAUACAGGGAGUCAAAACACUUUGUUUCUUCAUUGAAUUCUUGUAGAAAGAGGUCAAAUAUGUCAAAUCUUCAGAGGUUCCUUCAAUUGGUGACACCGAUUGUCCCUUCAAAACCUCUACCAAUGAGUUAUAUGGAUAAUUCAAUUUGGAAGGACACAACUGAAUAUUUCACACUUGGAGAUUUGUGGGAUUGUUAUGAAGAAUGGAGUGCAUAUAUAUGGUGUCGGUGCUCCAAUUACCUUAAAAGAUGAUGAGUCUGUUGUCCAAUACUAUGCUCCUUACUUAUCUGCCGUUCAGAUCUACACAAUUAAAUCUCCAACAACACUUAGACUUCAGAGAGAAAUAUAUUAGAAGAAAUUCAUGUAUUCCGAGCAGAAGCACCUUAUGUCCACCUUUUUGUACACAAACCAAUUGAUUUCAAAGGCUUCAACGUCAGUCGUCAAAGAGCUACUGUAUUAAUCAUCAGGUGACUGGAAAAGUUGUAAAGCUUGAUGGGAUUAUUAGCUAUUUACAGUCCUUCUGGCACCAAGUUGAGGUAAAUUAUUUAGGGGCUUUUUUUUCCCCGCUUGCAAAGACUGACUUUGCUAAAAUAGUGGUUGAGUUGUUGGAGAAGUUGUUGUUUGAUAUGUUUUUGCCAAAAAAAAAAAAAAAAAAAAAAGAAAAAACCUGAUGUUAGAAAUACUUUCAACUUAGUUUUUAGUCAUCAAUUGCAAUAAAUGUUCCAAUUGAUGUGGAGUUAAACAUUAGCAAGAUAGGUGAAUUCUAUAUAUGUAUAUUUUCAUGUGUUCCUCUCAAUGGAGUUGAAGUAAUUUAAAUCCAAGAAUGGACUUCAACAUGGAAUGUAUGAUGCAACUCAGUCAAGCAUAUGGUAUUACUCAUGAAUUUUUGAUUUCUGGGAUAUAAAUGUUUCUGAAUUUGUGACAAUUUCAUACGAUUCAAAUUAUUGGGGGUGUUGU